rnacentral:rRNA from 1 species
GGCGGCAGGCUUACACAUGCAAGUCGAGCGGGCGAGGUUGCUUCGGUAACUGAGCUAGCGGCGGACGGGUGAGUAAUGCUUAGGAAUCUGCCUAUUAGUGGGGGACAACAUUCCGAAAGGGAUGCUAUACCGCAUACGUCCUACGGGAGAAAGCAGGGGAUCACUUGUGACCUUGCGCUAAUAGAUGAGCCUAAGUCGGAUUAGCUAGUUGGUGGGGUAAAGGCCUACCAAGGCGACGAUCUGUAGCGGGUCUGAGAGGAUGAUCCGCCACACUGGGACUGAGACACGGCCCAGACUCCUACGGGAGGCAGCAGUGGGGAAUAUUGGACAAUGGGGGGAACCCUGAUCCAGCCAUGCCGCGUGUGUGAAGAAGGCCUUUUGGUUGUAAAGCACUUUAAGCGAGGAGGAGGCUCUCUUGGUUAAUACCUGAGAAGAGUGGACGUUACUCGCAGAAUAAGCACCGGCUAACUCUGUGCCAGCAGCCGCGGUAAUACAGAGGGUGCGAGCGUUAAUCGGAUUUACUGGGCGUAAAGCGCGCGUAGGUGGUUAAUUAAGUCAAAUGUGAAAUCCCCGAGCUUAACUUGGGAAUUGCAUUCGAUACUGGUUAGCUAGAGUAUGGGAGAGGAUGGUAGAAUUCCAGGUGUAGCGGUGAAAUGCGUAGAGAUCUGGAGGAAUACCGAUGGCGAAGGCAGCCAUCUGGCCUAAUACUGACACUGAGGUGCGAAAGCAUGGGGAGCAAACAGGAUUAGAUACCCUGGUAGUCCAUGCCGUAAACGAUGUCUACUAGCCGUUGGGGGAUUUGAUCCUUUAGUGGCGCAGCUAACGCGAUAAGUAGACCGCCUGGGGAGUACGGUCGCAAGACUAAAACUCAAAUGAAUUGACGGGGGCCCGCACAAGCGGUGGAGCAUGUGGUUUAAUUCGAUGCAACGCGAAAAACCUUACCUGGCCUGAACAUA